AUGAAGAAAUACGCUGAUCGCAAGCGUACUGAAAGAGUUUUGGAAGUUGGUGACAUGGUGUACCUUAAAAUGCAGCCCUAUCGGCUCAAUGCAUUUGGGUUGCGUACACACAUCAAACUGCAAAGCAAGUACUAUGGGCCGUUUCGCAUCACAGCAAAGGUGGGGCGCGUGGCUUACAAACUGCUUCUACCUGACAGCACCAACAUUCAUCCAGUCUUCCAUGUUAGCCAGCUCAAAAAGCAUGUCGGACCGAAGGCAGUACCCUGUUCUGAUUUGCCGCUGGUACGAGAAGAUGGUAUGAUUCAGACCGAGCCAGUGUGGGUCUUGGAAACACGUCAGGUUCCACGCAACAAUUUGCCGGUGGUUCAAUGA
rnacentral:rRNA from 1 species